GAUUGCACUGUCACUAUGGAAUGUGUAGCAGCAUGAUUCUUGGGGAUUUACAAGGGUGUGCCAAAUGAAAACUUUUACUUUAUUUUGCAUAGUUUAUUGCAAAUAGGUGUCAGGAAGGUAAAUAAUUUUUAUACAUAAUAUACAUGUUAUUCAACACAAGUGUUCUAUCACUUUAUGAAUGUCAAGUAUUCAUCUAGAAAAAAAAUCUGAUUCAAUUGUAAUUCAUGUUGCAUUUUAAGGUUUUCAUUUGACUCGCACUCGUCUAUUUUAUUCCUAAUAAUAAAGCUUACUGGACGAGAACUGACUUUAGUAAUUAACUAAUUACAUUAGCUAACACUUAAGCAACAUUCGAGUUGUUCCAAUAGAGGGCAGUAAAGAGAAAUAAAACUGUAUAUACAGUGUUGACUUUCAGUCUUACGCACACUAUUUACAGAGUGGAAGCCUGGAGAACACUUGACAAGAUGGCUAAAAUUAUUGUCUCAAGUAUAAUUUUGAUCAGUUUUAAAGCCGCAGUGAUCUCUUCCCUCAACAUCCAGCAAACACCACAACGUCUACUAAUGACACCUGAGCAGAUUGAAGCAAAGCUUAAAUGCCGUCAUGGUGAUGCCAGCUAUCAAUACAUGUACUGGUAUCAACAAAAGACAGUCAGUGACUCCAUUGAGCUCAUUGGAAUGCUUCAGUAUGGAAUACCCACUCCUGAGGAGAAGUUUAAAGCACGAUUUAACAUUUCAGGACACGCCACAGGGGAUGCAUUUCUGCUCAUAUCCAGUAUAACUACUGAGGACAGUGCAGUAUAUUUCUGUGCUGCUAGUAAGCACAGCCACACAUCUUCCCUCUCUGUUUAACAAAAAGCUUCACACCAAACACCUGCAAAUAAGAUCUGUUCUG